rnacentral:rRNA from 1 species
GACAGAGGGUGCAAACGUUGUUCGGAUUUACUGGGCGUAAAGCGUGCGCAGGCGGUUCUAUAAGACAGAUGUGAAAUCCCCGGGCUUAACCUGGGAACUGCAUUUGUGACUGCAUCGCUGGAGUGCGGCAGAGGGGGAUGGAAUUCCGCGUGUAGCAGUGAAAUGCGUAGAUAUGCGGAGGAACACCGAUGGCGAAGGCAAUCCCCUGGGCCUGCACUGACGCUCAUGCACGAAAGCGUGGGGAGCAAACAGG